rnacentral:rRNA from 1 species
AUUGAACGCUGGCGGCAUGCCUUACACAUGCAAGUCGAACGGCAGCACGGGAGCAAUCCUGGUGGCGAGUGGCGAACGGGUGAGUAAUAUAUCGGAACGUGCCCGGUCGUGGGGGAUAACGUAGCGAAAGCUACGCUAAUACCGCAUACGAUCUACGGAUGAAAGCGGGGGAUCGCAAGACCUCGCGCGAUUGGAGCGGCCGAUAUCAGAUUAGGUAGUUGGUGAGGUAAAGGCUCACCAAGCCGACGAUCUGUAGCUGGUCUGAGAGGAUGACCAGCCACACUGGGACUGAGACACGGCCCAGACUCCUACGGGAGGCAGCAGUGGGGAAUUUUGGACAAUGGGCGCAAGCCUGAUCCAGCAAUGCCGCGUGCAGGAUGAAGGCCUCGGUUGUAAACUGCUUUGUACGGUAACGAAACGGUAGAGCUCUAAUACAGUUUGCUAAUGACGGUACCGUAAGAAUAAG